CUCUCUCUCCGGAGCGACAGGUCCAGGCUCCGCCACUCACCCACCCAUGCCUGUCCUCUGCCACCCGGUGAAGUCCUUGGUGCUGCUUGGACCAUCCCUGCCUGGGGGAGCCCGGGAUGACUGCUUCCUCCUGACCAAUGCAGAGCGUGGAUGAAAGUGAAGCUUGCGAAACCAGCCUUUCCGGAACAGAUUGCACUGAAGACUCAGAGGAAGUUGGUCUCCCUCUCCACCCCCCACCCCACCCCCCCCCCGCUUUCAAAUUAAUAUCUGACAGAAGAAGCCGACCAGCUAACGAAACAAAAACAGAGCGUCCUGAUCGGGCAGCCACUCAGGUCUAAACAGAAAGUGUGAGAUGCUCAGCUCCUACAGCAACGCAGUCCCUCUGCCAUUCAACCACUUGAAAAGUCCCUGCAGGUCUCCAGUGCUGGUUUUCAGGCCACAGCUCAGCAACACCGCGAAAACCAUCUUCCAGGGCAGUAGCAGCCGACCUGAAGCCUUCUGAGCCACAGCCCAGGGCAGCAGGCUCACCACCCGUGGGGUCCAGCCUCAUGGUGGUGGCUGUGGCCUGGGGUGUGGAGUGAGUUCACUGGUGUCACCUUGGCCCUGGAAGUUCAUAUCCAGGGGCACCAUGAAGUCUGGGUCCGCAUGAGAUUGUCACAGAAGCCCCCCUCAACCCAGCUCCCCACAGGGUGUGAGGUGUCUCAAAGCGAGGCUGUUGUCUUCUGUCUUCCCUGGCUGCACUCACUACCCUAAGAAAGCCUGAGUACAGCCAGGUGGUGGUGGUGCAUGCCUUUAAUCCUGGCACUCCGGAGGCAGAGGCAGGCAGAGAUCUCUGUGAGUACGAGGUGUUAGCCUACAAGAGCUUCAACUGGCCUGCCUUCAGGGUCCUAGCAAUUGCUUACGUCGUCACCUCCCGCUGCCAGGUGCCCUAGGUGUGUGCCGGAAAUGAGGACCCCAGCCAUCCCCAGCUCUCACUCUCUUCCAGCUUCCCACUCUCUUUGUUCUAGGCGGCCCCUCUCUUGCUGCCCUCAUGGUUAUCUGCUCAUGCCUGCUGCCUCUCCACCUUCCCCAGGCCCUGCUCGCCCUUUCCCCAAUAAACUUCCUUACACCAGA